GAAGGACCGUAGCUCAGCGGCAGACCACUGGCUUGGGAUGCAGAUGGUCCCAGGUUCAAUCCACCUACUGGCGUCUUCA